UGGGCCUUGGUGACCCGCCUCCUUGCACAGGGCUUGAUGGAACUGGAAUUGCAGCACAAAACUCACAAAGUACCUGCAGACCUGAAGUCUUUCCUGUUGUAGAAGUCCCAGGCAGAGGCGUGGCACACCACCUGACGCCCAUCGGUUGGUUUCUCCAGCAUGGACCUUGUCCAAAACUCAGGAGGCAUGGGCAAGAGCCCCAGGGAGGUGAAGAAUUCCUCUGCCACUCGGAACAUGAAAGAAACCCCAGGAAAGCAGGAUGGAGGCAGGUUUCAGCCAGGGCUGCCCUCUGAAGAGCUCCUGAGAACCACAUCUAGGACGAUGGUAGAGCAGGCUGGUCCCCUCUCAGGUCUGUGUGGCAUUGUGAUGAUGUCUACAGAACAUCUGGGUUCGGCAUGGAGCAGCCUCUGCUUCGCCGAAAAAAUCACAGAAGAAAGGUAAACAGGUGGGAAGAUAGUCUAAUCCCUGUGGUUUGCGUGGAACAAACUGAUACCAGGGCUGGUUGGAGGCGUCACUGCACCUCUCUAACGGUCACAUUUACUAUAAUAGCUUGUUGAGGGGUGCUGCUUCCCUACUACGCCAUCAACUCCAGGAGACAGAGACUCUGUCUGCCUUAUUCUCGGGUUUUCCUAGAGCUUAGCACAGUGCCUGGCACAAAGUAGGCCCUCAUUCAAGGAAGGGGGGACGUGGAUAAAAGGAAUAAACACCAAUCAUAUUCACUUUCCAGGUGGGAGGCUCACAGCCUACAAGAACAACAGGAAGAGCCAGACCUCACUAAUCGGGAAUUUGCAAUAACAUUGACACUGCCUUGAUCCCAAUGAGUAAAAGUUAAAAACUUCUCACUCUC